CCUACGGGGGGAAAAGGGGGGGAUCGCAAGACCUCUCACUUAUUGGAGCGGCCGAUAUCGGGAUUAACUAGUUGGUGGAGGUAAAGGCUCACCAAGGCAAACGAUCCGUAGCUGGUUUGAGAGGACGACCAGCCACACUGGGACUGAGUCACGGCCCAGACUCCUACGGGAGGCAGCAGUGGGGAAUUUUGGACAAUGGGGGGAAACCCUGAUCCAGCCAUCCCGCGUGUAUGAUGAAGGCCUUCGGGUUGUAAAGUACUUUUGGCAGAGAAGAAAAGGUAUCCCCUAAUACGGGAUACUGCUGACGGUAUCUGCAGAAUAAGCACCGGCUAACUACGUGCCAGCAGCCGCGGUAAUACGUAGGGUGCAAGCGUUAAUCGGAAUUACUGGGCGUAAAGCGUGUGUAGGCGGUUCGGAAAGAAAGAUGUGAAAUCCCAGGGCUCAACCUUGGAACUGCAUUUUUAACUGCCGAGCUAGAGUAUGUCAGAGGGGGGUAGAAUUCCACGUGUAGCAGUGAAAUGCGAAGAUAUGUGGAGGAAUACCGAAGGCGAAGGCAGCCCCCUGGGAAAUACUGACGCUCAGACACGAAAGCGUGGGGACAAACAGGAUUAUACCCUGGUAGUCCACGCCYUAAACGAUGUCAACUAGCUGUUGGGGCCGUUAGGCCUUAGUAGCGCAGCUAACGCGKGAAGUUGACCGCCUGGGGAGUACGGUCGCAAGAUUAAAACUCAAAGGAAUUGACGGGGACCCGCACAAGCGGUGGAUGAUGUGGAUUAAUUCGAUGCAACGCGAAAAACCUUACCUACCCUUGACAUGUCUGGAAAGCCGAAGAGAUUUGGCCGUGCUCGCAAGAGAACCGGAACACAGGUGCUGCAUGGCUGUCGUCAGCUCGUGUCGUGAGAUGUUGGGUUAAGUCCCGCAACGAGCGCAACCCUUGUCAUUAGUUGCUACGCAAGAGCACUCUAAUGAGACUGCCGGUGACAAACCGGAGGAAGGUGGGGAUGACGUCAAGUCCUCAUGGCCCUUAUGGGUAGGGCUUCACACGUCAUACAAUGGUCGGGACAGAGGGUCGCCAACCCGCGAGGGGGAGCCAAUCUCAGAAACCCGAUCGUAGUCCGGGAUCCGCAUCCUGCAACUCGACUGCGUGAAGUCAGAAUCGCUAGUAAUUCCGGGAUCAUAUUGUCGCGGGUUGUAUUAC
rnacentral:rRNA from 1 species